GAAUGCUGACAUAAGUAACGAUAAAGCGGGUGAAAAGCCCGCUCGCCGGAAGACCAAGGGUUCCUGUCCAACGUUAAUCGGGGCAGGGUGAGUCGACCCCUAAGGCGAGGCCGAAAGGCGUAGUCGAUGGGAAACAGGUUAAUAUUCCUGUACUUGGUGUUACUGCGAAGGGGGGACGGAGAAGGCUAUGUUGGCCGGGCGACGGUUGUCCCGGUUUAAGCGUGUAGGCUGGUUUUCCAGGCAAAUCCGGAAAACCAAGGCUGAGGCGUGAUGACGAGGCACUACGGUGCUGAAGCGACAAAUGCCCUGCUUCCAGGAAAAGCCUCUAAGCAUCAGGUAACAUCAAAUCGUACCCCAAACCGACACAGGUGGUCAGGUAGAGAAUACCAAGGCGCUUGAGAGAACUCGGGUGAAGGAACUAGGCAAAAUGGUGCCGUAACUUCGGGAGAAGGCACGCUGAUAUGUAGGUGAAGCGACUUGCUCGUGGAGCUGAAAUCAGUCGAAGAUACCAGCUGGCUGCAACUGUUUAUUAAAAACACAGCACUGUGCAAACACGAAAGUGGACGUAUACGGUGUGACGCCUGCCCGGUGCCGGAAGGUUAAUUGAUGGGGUUAGCGGUAACGCGAAGCUCUUGAUCGAAGCCCCGGUAAACGGCGGCCGUAACUAUAACGGUCCUAAGGUAGCGAAAUUCCUUGUCGGGUAAGUUCCGACCUGCACGAAUGGCGUAAUGAUGGCCAGGCUGUCUCCACCCGAGACUCAGUGAAAUUGAACUCGCUGUGAAGAUGCAGUGUACCCGCGGCAAGACGGAAAGACCCCGUGAACCUUUACUAUAGCUUGACACUGAACAUUGAGCCUUGAUGUGUAGGAUAGGUGGGAGGCUUUGAAGUGUGGACGCCAGUCUGCAUGGAGCCGACCUUGAAAUACCACCCUUUAAUGUUUGAUGUUCUAACGUGGGCCCCUAAUCGGGGUUGCGGACAGUGUCUGGUGGGUAGUUUGACUGGGGCGGUCUCCUCCUAAAGAGUAACGGAGGAGCACGAAGGUUGGCUAAUCCUGGUCGGACAUCAGGAGGUUAGUGCAAUGGCAUAAGCCAGCUUGACUGCGAGCGUGACGGCGCGAGCAGGUGCGAAAGCAGGUCAUAGUGAUCCGGUGGUUCUGAAUGGAAGGGCCAUCGCUCAACGGAUAAAAGGUACUCCGGGGAUAACAGGCUGAUACCGCCCAAGAGUUCAUAUCGACGGCGGUGUUUGGCACCUCGAUGUCGGCUCAUCACAUCCUGGGGCUGAAGUAGGUCCCAAGGGUAUGGCUGUUCGCCAUUUAAAGUGGUACGCGAGCUGGGUUUAGAACGUCGUGAGACAGUUCGGUCCCUAUCUGCCGUGGGCGCUGGAGAACUGAGGGGGGCUGCUCCUAGUACGAGAGGACCGGAGUGGACGCAUCACUGGUGUUCGGGUUGUCAUGCCAAUGGCACUGCCCGGUAGCUAAAUGCGGAAGAGAUAAGUGCUGAAAGCAUCUAAGCACGAAACUUGCCCCGAGAUGAGUUCUCCCUGAGACUUAGAGUCUCCUGAAGGAACGUUGAAGACGACGACGUUGAUAGGCCGGGUGUGUAAGCGCAGCGAUGCGUUGAGCUAACCGGUACUAAUGAACCGUGAGGCUUAACCUU
rnacentral:rRNA from 1 species